GAAAAACUACGGACGGCAAGAUCANGUCGGGACAGCGGGAACUGAAGACGGCCUGUAAACUGAUUAAAUGCCGUGUGGGAACGCGGCCAACGUCUCGCAAUCCCUGUUCUCCUAAGGGCGCGUCUUUGGGAAGAUUUCUGCAAAUAAACCUGGCCAGAGAGUUUACACGUGCGUCUUUCCUGCAUCCCAGAUAGGGAGAGGCAGUGGUAGGAAAAAACGUUCAGAAAAGAGAGCGAAAAAAACCAGAACACACCAUCUCCCUGCUGCUAAGCCUUUAUAAGGGCAAAACUUUGAAAACUACUGAACCGCUGGGAAGAAGGUUGGACGCAAAANCUUCGAGGUUCCUCCCGCUUCCUCCGCGCUUAUCAAGCCGCAGGAUCAAGGCUGGGGGGAGGGGGAAGUGAUCCGGAUUGCCCCCGAGUCUCUGGGUGGGCGUGAGCAAGGCGAGAGAAAGUCACUCCUGCAGGGUGGGUGUUAGGAGCCCCCCCCUCCCUCCCCGCAGCCAACCCCUCCGGCAGCCUCGCGCGCCCCUGGGAGAUCCCACCCGCUCCUCGUCGUUCCGCCCCGGGUGGGGGGCUCGCUUGGCUUUGUUCGGCGCCCGGAGGGAGGCGCCCCGCCGCCGCGAGCGCAAAGUUUGGAGAGGCUCCUUUGCGCAAGCGGGCGCCGCUUUUGCACAGACAGGGCGAGUGCGGCGGGGCGCGCGUCCUCCUCCUCCUCCUCCUCCUCCCGGCGUUGCAGGCUACGAGCAGCAGCGCGCUUGCUUGCUGGGCUUCCCCUCGGCUGCAGCCCGACCCGCGUUGCUGCCGGCGUUCCCGUCCGCUCCUUGCCUUCGUCUCCGUCCGCCGCUCUUCCCCGCGCGCGCUCCUCCGCUUCCCUGCCUGCCCAGGUGCGCGGUACCUUCUGGAGACGGGAGCAGCUCGCUCGCGCCGCGCGCCAGCCCGGGACGGAGCAGAAGCGAAGCGACGCCUAAAUCUGACGUCCUCCCAUAUCUAGCUUGAGGAGUUGCAGAAACUGCCCAGCAUGCUCCAGAGGUGAAGCUGGUAGAGCUCCAGUGUACGAGCCCUCUGUGUGGGAAAAGAAAAAUCNCAGGGGAAGCCAUCUGCCGCUGAGAACUACCCAUUUUUCCUGUCUGUGAAAGGUAUGGUGGAGUUGCUUGCGUGUGUCUGCUGGUUGCAGAAGUCUCCGUUUUAUCCUGUGAUUCCGUCCUACCGCCCCUGCCAGACGCCGGAGGCAACUGUGGG
rnacentral:lncRNA from 1 species